GACGAACGCUGGCGGCGUGCUUAACACAUGCAAGUCGAACGGAAAGGCCCUGCUUUUGUGGGGUGCUCGAGUGGCGAACGGGUGAGUAACACGUGAGUAACCUGCCCUUGACUUUGGGAUAACUUCAGGAAACUGGGGCUAAUACCUGAUAGGAUCUCCUUCUGCAUGGUGGGGUUUGGAAAGUUUCGGCUGUUGGGUAUGUACUCGCUGCUUAUCAGCUUGUUGGUGGGGUAGUGGCUUACCAAGGCUUUGACGGGUAGCCGGCCUGAGAGGGUGACCGGCCACAUGGGGACUGAGAUACGGCCCAGACUCCAACGGGAGGCAGCAGGGGGGAAUAUUGCACAAUGGGCGGAAGCAUGAGGCAGAAAAGCAGCGUGCGGGAUGACGGCCUUGGGGUUGAAAACAGAUGUAGCCUGUGAAGAAGAGUGAGUGACGGUAAUGGGUAAAGAAGCACCGGCUAACUACGUG
rnacentral:rRNA from 1 species